rnacentral:rRNA from 1 species
CCCUUAGAUGUUCUGGGCUGCACGCGCGCUACACUGAAGCGUUCAACGAGUAUUCACCUUGCCCGGGAGGGUUGGGUAAUCUUUUGAAAAUGCUUCGUGAUGGGGAUAGAUUAUUGCAAUUAUUAAUCUUCAACGAGGAAUUCCUAGUAAGCGCGAGUCAUCAGCUCGUGCUGAUUACGUCCCUGCCCUUUGUACACACCGCCCGUCGCUCCUACCAAUUGAGUGAUCCGGUGAAUAAUUCGGACUGCAGCACUGCUUGGUCUCCAGGCUUUGCAGCGGAAAGUUUAGUGAACCUUAUCACUUAGAGGAAGGAGAAGUCGUAACA